rnacentral:lncRNA from 1 species
AUGCAAUAGGUCUACUAUAUUUAAUGUAUGGAAUGAUUCUAAGGUGUACAUGUCUAGCUGGCAGGUGUCAUCUGACCUUGACCUCAUUUUCAUGGUUCAGUGGUCAAAGUUAAGUUUUUGAGUUUUAGUCUUUUUUCUUAUACUAUAUAUGCAAUAGGUCAACUAUAUUUGGUGUAUGGAAAUAUUUUGUGAUCUAUAUGUCAGUCGCGCAG